rnacentral:rRNA from 1 species
GACAGAGGGUGCAAACGUUGUUCGGAAUUACUGGGCGUAAAGCGUGCGUAGGCGGUCUUCUAAGUCGGGUGUGAAAUCCCUGGGCUCAACCCAGGAAGUGCACUCGAAACUGGAGGGCUAGAGUAUCGGAGAGGUUGGUGGAAUUCUCGGUGUAGAGGUGAAAUUCGUAGAUAUCGAGAGGAACACCGGCGGCGAAGGCGGCCAACUGGACGAAUACUGACGCUGAGACACGAAAGCGUGGGGAGCAAACAGG